UUUAAGCGUAAGGUUUCUUUGUCCAAUGUUUAAUCAUCCAUCUUUGUUAAAAAUUAUUUUAUGAUAAGUAUUUUAUUAUUAGAUGAUAAAACAUAAAUAAUACUUUAUGUGUGACUUAUUCCUUUUAUAAUUUUUAAAAUAUGAUGGUUGAUCAAACGUUGGACACAGAAAUCUAUAAAUACAUGACCG
rfam:Oryza glaberrima chromosome 7 Oglab07_unplaced159_15, whole genome shotgun sequence.